rnacentral:rRNA from 1 species
AUUGAACGCUGGCGGCAUGCCUUACACAUGCAAGUCGAACGGUAACGGGCCUUCGGGUGCCGACGAGUGGCGAACGGGUGAGUAAUACAUCGGAACGUGCCCGAUCGUGGGGGAUAACGAGGCGAAAGCUUUGCUAAUACCGCAUACGAUCUACGGAUGAAAGCCGGGGACCGCAAGGCCUUGCGCGGACGGAGCGGCCGAUGGCAGAUUAGGUAGUUGGUGGGAUAAAAGCUUACCAAGCCGACGAUCUGUAGCUGGACUGAGAGGAUGAUCAGCCACACUGGGACUGAGACACGGCCCAGACUCCUACGGGAGGCAGCAGUGGGGAAUUUUGGACAAAGGGCGCAAGCCUGAUCCAGCCAUGCCGCGUGCAGGAUGAAGGCCUUCGGGUUGUAAACUGCUUUUGUACGGAACGAAAAGCCUUCUUUUAAUACAGGAGGGUCAUGACGGUACCGUAAGAAUAAGCACCGGCUAACUACGUG